CAAUAGCGUAUAUUUAAGUUGUUGCAGUUAAAAAGCUCGUAGUUGGAUUUCGGGUGGGACGCAGCGGUCUCGCAUUGCGUUUGUACUGCUGCAGCCCUCCUUCUUGCCGGGGGCGGCCUCUCGGACUUCACUGUCUGGGGGUCAGAAUCGGCGAUGUUACUUUGAGUAAAUUAGAGUGUUCAAAGCAAGCUUACGCUCUGAAUAUAAUAGCAUGGGAUAACACGACAGGACUCUGGCCUAUCGUGUUGGUCUAUAGGACCAGAGUAAUGAUUAAGAGGGACAGUCGGGGGCAUCCGUAUUCCGUUGUCAGAGGUGAAAUUCUUGGAUUUACGGAAGACGAACAUCUGCGAAAGCAUUUGCCAAGGAUGUUUNCAUUG
rnacentral:rRNA from 1 species